rnacentral:rRNA from 2 species
UUGAGUACAGGAGAGGAGAGUGGAAUUCCACGUGUAGCGGUGAAAUGCGUAGAGAUGUGGAGGAACACCAGUGGCGAAGGCGGCUCUCUGGCCUGUAACUGACGCUGAGGCGCGAAAGCGUGGGGAGCGAACAGGAUUAGAUACCCUGGUAGUCCACGCCGUAAACGUUGAGUGCUAGGUGUUAGGGGUUUCGACACCCUUAGUGCCGAAGCAAACGCAUUAAGCACUCCGCCUGGGGAGUACGACCGCAAGGUUGAAACUCAAAGGAAUUGACGGGGGCCCGCACAAGCGGUGGAGCAUGUGGUUUAAUUCGACGCAACGCGAAGAACCUUACCAGGUCUUGACAUCUUUUGCUACUUCUAGAGAUAGAAGGUUCCCCUUCGGGGGACAAAAUGACAGGUGGUGCAUGGUUGUCGUCAGCUCGUGUCGUGAGAUGUUGGGUUAAGUCCCGCAACGAGCGCAACCCUUAAUCUUAGUUGCCAGCAUUGAGUUGGGCACUCUAAGGUGACUGCCGGUGACAAACCGGAGGAAGGUGGGGAUGACGUCAAAUCAUCAUGCCCCUUAUGACCUGGGCUACACACGUGCUACAAUGGAUGGUACAGAGGGGAGCAAAGCCGUGAGGUGGAGCGAAUCUCAAAAAGCCAUUCUCAGUUCGGACUGCAGGCUGCAACUCGCCUGCAUGAAGCCGGAAUCGCUAGUAAUCGCGGAUCAGCAUGCCGCGGUGAAUACGUUCCCGGGCCUUGUACACACCGCCCGUCACACCACGAGAGCUUGCAACACCCGAAGUCGGUGAGGUA